rnacentral:rRNA from 1 species
AACCGAGAACUCCUACGGGAGGCAGCAGUGGGGAAUUUUGGACAAUGGGGGCAACCCUGAUCCAGCAAUGCCGCGUGAGUGAAGAAGGCCUUCGGGUUGUAAAGCUCUUUUGUCAGGGAAGAAACGGUAGUAGCUAAUAUCUAUUACUAAUGACGGUACAUGAAGAAUAAGCACCGGCUCACUACGUGCCAGCAGCCGCGGUAAUACGUAGGGUGCAAGCGUUAAUCGGAAAUACUGGGCGUAAAGCGUGCGCAGGCUGUUGUGUAAGUCAGAUGUGAAAUCCCCGGGCUCAACCUGGAAGUUGCAUUUGAGACUGAACGGCUAGAGUGUGUCAGAGGGGGGUAGAAUUCCACGUGUAGCAGUGAAAUGCGUAGAUAUGUGGAGGAAUACCGAUGGCGAAGACAGCCCCCUGGGAUAACACUGACGCUCAUGCACGAAAGCGUGGGGCGCAAACAGGAUUAGAAACCCUGGUAGUCCGACUGAGA